rnacentral:rRNA from 1 species
UACAGAGGUCUCAAGCGUUGUUCGGAUUCAUUGGGCGUAAAGGGUGCGUAGGCGGCGCGGUAAGUCGGGUGUGAAAUCUCGGAGCUUAACUCCGAAACUGCAUUCGAUACUGCCGUGCUUGAGGACUGGAGAGGAGACUGGAAUUUACGGUGUAGCGGUGAAAUGCGUAGAUAUCGUAAGGAAGACCAGUGGCGAAGGCGGGUCUCUGGGCCGGAACUGACGCUGAGGAGCGAAAGCGUGGGUAGCAAACAGG